rnacentral:rRNA from 1 species
CAGCCGCCGCGGGAAUACAGAGGGUGCGAGCGUUAAUCGGAUUUACUGGGCGUAAAGCGUGCGUAGGCGGCUAAUUGAGUCGGAUGUGAAAUCCCCGAGCUUAACUUGGGAAUUGCAUUCGAUACUGGUUAGCUAGAGUGUGGGAGAGGAUGGUAGAAUUCCAGGUGUAGCGGUGAAAUGCGUAGAGAUCUGGAGGAAUACCGAUGGCGAAGGCAGCCAUCUGGCCUAAUACUGACGCUGAGGUACGAAAGCAUGGGGAGCAAACAGGAUUAGAUACCCCCGUAGUCCCUGUCUCUUAUAA